rnacentral:rRNA from 1 species
GUGUCAGCAGCCGCGGUAAUACGUAGGUGGCAAGCGUUGUCCGGAAUUAUUGGGCGUAAAGGGCUCGCAGGCGGUAACUUAAGUCUGAUGUGAAAGCCCCCGGCUCAACCGGGGAGGGUCAUUGGAAACUGGGGAACUUGAGUGCAGAAGAGGAGAGUGGUAUUCCACGUGUAGCGGUGUUAUGCGUAGAGAUGUGGAGGAACACCAGUGGCGAAGGCGACUCUCUGGUCUGUAACUGACGCUGAGGAGCGAAAGCGUGGGGAGCGAACAGGAUUAGAUACCCCGGUAGUCC